UUUGCCUCACUCCUAGGUUCUGAGAUUUUGUCAGUGGUGUCUUGUCUCUGGAUACUUGCUAGUUGGGGGUCUUCUUAUGAAGGUUCUGAAGUCAUGAAUGAGCUGUGUCACCACAUUGGUGACGUUGCUUCUUUUUUCUUCAGUUUUUUUUUUCCCCUAACCCACUGAGGUUCUUUAAGACAAAGCUUUGACUCAUUGUCAGGACAUUCAUGGAACUCCAUUUCUAUUAGCUGCCCCAGACAACAAAAUGAUGGUAUUUCUCCCUGUUGCUGUCUUACUUUCAUACUCAUCUCAAUCACUGCAUCUUCUUCUCUGGAUUCUGGACUUCUCAUAAAGUAAGCAUGGGAGUAGCAGAGAGCCUCUUAGGAAGUGUUCCUUGAAGGACAACUGUGCUGCUGUUCUACCUUAUGGAAACUUGAAAAAAGUGUAAUGAGACCUCCCAAGAAGCAUAUCUUCAUGAGGGAAAUGAUUUUCUUUUUACUUUCUGAACAAUAAAUGUCUCUUCAGGCUAUGACCACACCUUCUUUAUGAUGGGGUCUAGGUGUGUGUAGACCCCAGCAAAACCUGGUUACUGGGAAAAAGUAGACUAAUGCUUCCUGUUGAGUAUAAUUCUGCCAGAAUAAUAAGUAUCAGAACAUAUUGUGCUGGUUCAGUAUUUGCUUAUGUAAAACCCUUAGAACAGUAACUCACAGAUGUGGGCUUGUAAUUUUUAUUAUUUGUAAAUUAAUUAUCUUUGUUCAUUGUUUUGGUAUGCAUAUGUAUAAUAGCUGCUAAGGUUACAAUAACAAACUACCCCAAAGAAGGUGGUUUAAACAACAGAAUUUUGUUUUCUCGCAGUUCUGGCGGGAAGUCUGAGGUCAAGGUGUUAACUUGGUUUGUUUCCUCUGAGGCCAUUCUCAUUGGCUUGUACGUGGCCAUUUUAUCCCAGUGUCUUCACAUGUUGUUUUUUUUUUUUCUCUCUGUAUGUGCCUGUGUUCUAAUUGCCUCUUGUUAUGAGGGCACUAGUCAUAUUGGCUUAGGGCCCACACUACUAAGUUUAUCUUAUAGUAGUUACUUCUUUAAAGAUCUUACAUCCAAACACAGUCACAUUGUUAAAUUAUGGGAGUUAAGAUGUCAAAAUAUAAAUUUGCAGUUCAUAAAAAUGUGUACUUUUACACGUUGAUGUGUAAGAAAUCUUGUAUUUGAGGAUGUUGAUGAUGUAAUGUUUGGUUAUACAAUGCAUAUACUUCUUAGGUUAAUACUAUGGAUUUGUUUUUCUGCCUUUAAAGAAAUUGGCCCAUUUAGCAGAAGAUAUAAAUAGACAUUUUUCCAAAGAAUGCAUCCAGAUGGUUAGCAGACACAUGAAAAUAUGCUCAAUAUGACUCAUCAUCAGGGAAAUACAAAUGAAAACCACAAUGAGAUACCACCUCACAUCUGUCAGAAUGACUAAAAUUACAACACAGGAAGCAACAGAUGUUGGCGAGGAUGCAGAGAAAGGGGAACACUUUUGCACUGUUGGUGGGAAUGCAAACUGGUGCAGCUACUCUGGGAAACAGUGUGGAGGUUCCUUAAAAAUUAAAAAUAGAACUACUGUACAAUUCAGAAAUUGCACUAUUCGGUAUUUAUCCAAAGGAUACAAAGAUGCUGAUUCAAAGGGGAAUGUGCACCCCUAUGUUUAUAGUAGUGCUAUCAACAAUAACCAAAUUAUGGAAAGAGCCCAAAUGUCCAUCCAGUGAUGAAUGAAUAAAGAAGAUGUAGUAUG